CUUCUUCUCUAUUGCUGUUGCUAUUAAGAGAGAUUUUUGUAGCAUACAAAAGCUCUGAUUGUCCUCUCACUUAUACUAAUUUUGCAAUUGUGUAAAUCCAUUGACCUGAGCAGAGUUAUUUUUGAUUGACACUAAUACAUGCUGGAGGAGAAUCAGGUUUUAAAUAUCUUUGAAGGCAGACAAGCUUGGAAAAAAUAGUCUUAUUUUUAAGCUCCAUAAUUGUGACGAUGUCCUUUUGUGCCAUGCUAUUCAUUUGUUAUUUGAAUUGUAUUUGUCAAACAGUCAUUCAGGUCAACUGGUUAUCUUCAGGCGUUUAUAGCAGCAGAGGGACCCUUCCUCUCUGAAAUCCUUCACUUUCUACUCUGUGAUGGAUCAAUGGGCAAAGCUAAAGGCUCGUCUGAGUUCAGCUUGAAUUGCUGAAGCAGCUUCCUGAAAAUGAUUCGAUGACUGAAUUUUUGAGAACAUUUUCAUAAAAAAAUUUUGGCCCAUUUACUGGCUUGGCUUUGGGCAGGAUUACAGCACAAAUUGCAACACUUCUUUUUCACUCUCAUAUGCGUGACAAGUAAUAAUUUACAAGCCUGUCCAAUGCAGUGGCCUUUCACAUACUUCAGAGGCUGUGGUCUCUAAAGCAACUUGCCAAAGCCCUUGCUAUGUAAAAACUUGUUGAGCAUACAUUCUGUACAUAUAUAUGUGUAUUAUAUAUGCAUUCUGCUUAUUGCAGUGAGUCAGCUUGAAAACCCAAAUGAAAAAAUCAGAUGUUGCACUGAUACAGUGACCUGUACUUUAAAAGGAAUGUCUCAGUCACUCUGUGCUGUUUAAUUUUCAUCUAAACAGUGCACAUUUCUGCUAAUCUCCAAAGUCAGAAGAUUUCUUUUGUAACACAUCAUCCAUUGACAAUAAUAGCUGCUCAUUCCUUGAAAAAUAAUGUGGUUUGUACCUGGUGUGAAACUAUUAGUGAGUUGACUUACUGUAGUUAGAAGAGAUUACUGUAGUUAGAAGAGAUUAUGCUAAAUGUGCCAUCACCCUCUGGAAAAAUACACACGGGGAACAUUUAGUGCUGUAACAGCCCUGCAUUAGCCCAGUUCAACAUGCAAGUAACCAAUAUUAUACACAAAUAUAUAUAUUAUAUAAGUCUGCAAUAACUGUGCAAAUUAGGUGUAUAAUUGCAUCCACGAAUUGUUGGAAAAUCUGGCUCUUAAAUUAUGCUUCAUAAACAAUAAUAACUCAC
rnacentral:lncRNA from 1 species